UACGUAGGGCGCAAGCGUUGUCCGGAUUUAUUGGGCGUAAAGAGCGUGUAGGCGGCCUGACAGGUCUGCUGUGAAAACUCGAGGCUCAACCUCGAGAUGUCGGCGGAAACCGUCGGGCUGGAGUCCGGAAGAGGCGAGUGGAAUUCCUGGUGUAGCGGUGAAAUGCGCAGAUAUCAGGAGGAACACCAAUGGCGAAGGCAGCUCGCUGGGACGGUACUGACGCUGAGACGCGAAAGCGUGGGGAGCAAACAGG
rnacentral:rRNA from 1 species